GCAGCAAAUUCUGGCUGUGUUCCUACAGGGACUAUAGAGAAAGAGAAGGUGAGCAAAUCUGUUCCAUGUACACCUUAGCCAAAGCCCUGUGCCUAUUCUGUACUGUGAAUGAAGAGACAUGA
ensembl:snoRNA